AUUGAACGCUGGCGGCAGGCCUAACACAUGCAAGUCGGACGGUAGCACAGAGGAGCUUGCUCCUCGGGUGACGAGUGGCGGACGGGUGAGUAAUGUCUGUGGAUCUGCCCGAUAGAGGGGGAUAACCACUGGAAACGGUGGCUAAUACCGCAUAACGUCGCAAGACCAAAGAGGGGGACCUUCGGGUCUCUCACUAUCGGAUGAACCCAGAUGGGAUUAGCUAGUAGGCGGGGUAACGGCCCACCUAGGCGACGAUCCCUAGCUGGUCUGAGAGGAUGACCAGCCACACUGGAACUGAGACACGGUCCAGACUCCUACGGGAGGCAGCAGUGGGGAAUAUUGCACAAUGGGCGCAUGCCUGAAGCAGCCAUGCCGCGUGUAUGAAGAAGGCCUUCGGGUUGUAAAGUACUUUCAGCGGGGAGGAAGGCGAUGUGGUUAAUAACCGCGUCGAUUGACGUUACCCGCAGAAGAAGCACCGGCUAACUCCGUGCCAGCCGCCGCGGUAA
rnacentral:rRNA from 1 species